AACGUAGGUUCCGAGCGUUAUCCGGAUUUACUGGGCGUAAAGCGCGUUCAGGCGGUUUGGCAAGUCGGGCAUGAAAUCUCUCGGCUCAACCGGGAGAGGUUGUCCGAUACUGCUGGACUUGAGGGCAGUAGAGGGUGGUGGAAUUCCGGGUGUAGUGGUGAAAUGCGUAGAUAUCCGGAGGAACACCAGUGGCGAAAGCGGCCACCUGGACUGCACCUGACGCUGGACACGCGAAAAGCCUAGGGGGAGCGAACGGGG
rnacentral:rRNA from 1 species